UAGGGAAUCUUCGGCAAUGGGGGGAACCCUGACCGAGCAACGCCGCGUCAGUGAAGAAGGUUUUCGGAUCGUAAAGCUCUGUUGUUAAGGAAGAACGAGUGUGAGAAUGGAAAGUUCAUGCUGUGACGGUACUUAACCAGAAAGGGACGGCUAACUACGUGCCAGCAGCCGCGGUAAUACGUAGGUGGCAAGCGUUGUCCGGAAUUAUUGGGCGUAAAGCGCGCGUAGGCGGUUUUUUAAGUCUGAUGUGAAAGCCCACGGCACAACGGUGGAGGGUCAUUAGAAACUGGAAAACUUGAGUGGAGAGGAGGAAAGUGGAAUUCCAUGUGUAACGGUGAAAUGCGCAGAGAUAUGGAGGAACACCAGUGGCGAAGGCGACUUUCUGGUCUGUAACUGACGCUGAUGUGAGAGAGCGUGGGGAUCAAACAGG
rnacentral:rRNA from 1 species